UAAGGAAUAUUGCUCAAUGGGAGAAAUCCUGAAGCAGCAACGCCGCGUGGAGGAUGAAGGGUUUAUGACUUGUAAACUCCUGUAAAGAAGGAAAAAAUUCCCAUUUGAUGGGAGAUGAUGGUACUUCUGGAGUAAGCCCCGGCUAACUACGUGCCAGCAGCCGCGGUAAUACGUAGGGGGCAAGCGUUGUCCGGCUUUACUGGGUGUAAAGGGUGCUCAGGCGGAUUUGUAAGUCAGAGGUGAAAUCUUACAGCUUAACUGUGAAACUGCCUUUGAUACUGCAAGCCUAGAGUAUGGAAGAGAGGGAUGGAAUAUCUGGUGUAGCAGUGAAAUGCGUAGAUAUCAGAUACAACACCAAUGGCGAAGGCAGUCACUUGGUCCAGUACUGACGCUAAAGCACGAAAGCGUGGGUAGCAAACA
rnacentral:rRNA from 1 species